UGAGGUGCUUGUUAGAACACGGGGGCCGGGUAUAGAGGUUCAGCUCUGUCAGGCACUUGGGAAGAGACCCACCCCCCUCCUCUAGCCCCACCCCCUGUGUCCUGGCUGGCACUGCAGGAUAGAAGCUCAGCCCUGCCUCAGAACUCGUAACUCUGCCCAUCCCAGUCCUGGGAUGGGCAGCUGUUUCAGCAAUUUGUACUCCCAUAUAGAUCAUUCUAUCCCAUGUUGAAAAACCUAAUAUUUGACUUAGCACAAGUAUUUCCCAAAAACACUUUUUAAAAAUUAAGAACACAAAGCUGAAAACAGGCCCCUUCCUCAGAAUGGCUCUCAAGGACAAUUCUCUCAAGUGUAUAGAGCUCAUUUCAAGUCUGAACAGUAUGAACUCACAGCAGAAGGAUGUUUUUGGUAAGUGUAGACCUUCUUUCCCUAGGGGCCUAUCAAAAUUGCAGUGUUGUAAAAAGCCAUGCCUAGAAUUCACUUCCAACAGAUGCUAGAAUAUUUAGGGUUAUUUCCCAGUAAUUUUACUAGAAGUAUUUGGGUGGUUUAUGGAUAUUUUGUCUUCAGGGUCAUUUACACUACAGCAUUGUAGUAUUAUGACUCCUAUGGAAUCUGGGAUGUAGUUUGGUGAGGCAAUAGAGCUCUCUGGCUGAGAACCUGAAAUGUCCCUCCCUACACUGCAAAUCCCGGGAUUCCAUAGCAUGAAAUCAGGGCAGUGAAAAUGGAAUUAUAGCAUUAUAAUUCUAUAGAGUGAAGAAAUCCCAGAUAUUACUAAUUUUGCUACCAUUCUUGCCUCAUGUGUCCACCCCCAUUUCUCCCUUUAAGGCUGUAUCUGCGCUAAGAAAGCAAAGAAAGUUUGUAAAUAUCACCUCAUCCAGCCAUAAGUUGCUUUCUCAUGCUGUGAACCAGUAAUUCCAUAAAAGAUUGAAAAAUCUUAUAUUUUUAAAGAAAUAACAUGUAAAACCAAUUUUGUUUCUUAUUUCUACUGUAAAAAAAAUGGUAAUGUAAUAUCUUGACAUCAUUUUCAAAAUUCCUUGGCAUUUUUUAAAACAAGUAGAUUUGCAAUACUUUUAUUGUAUAGUGUGGAAGGUCCCGCAGCCUCUUAUGUUUCCUUAAAGUAAGGAAUGAGAAUCACAUGGCCUUAUAGAUGUUGCUAAACUGGGAUUGUCGUGAUUCUUCAUUGGCUAUGCUGGCUAGGGCUGCUGGGAAUUGCAAUCCAACAAUUUCUGGAGGGCCUCAUGAUUUCCUACUGCUGCCUUAAUUAAUCUUUAUUUUUCCAAGUUCUCCUGUACUAUUAGCGUUUGGGGGAGGAGGCCAUUAGUAGCUCACAGGGAAUUCACCAACAGCUGUUAAAAUGCAGUGGCAUUCCAAAAAUGUCUGCAUAAAUGGUAAAAGGAUUGUGGGGAUUAUCACGGAGAGGAAGCAAAUCAACAUUAGAGAUGCCAGUGUUCCACUGAAACGUAGACCAGACUUGUCAGAUGUCUUUGAGGAUUGGGCUUCCAGAACUGUUUUCUCAGUUGGAUCCUUCGCCCAGAGAAAGGAGACAGUCUGAUUUGACAGUGAGACCUGAUGCUUUCUGCUUCAUUAGCAGAUCCACAAUGUAAGUGACAUUCUCCCUUCCCAGAGAAGACAAAAAAAUGGAAUCCCAUUAAGGUGUGAUAAAGAUCUGAAAGGAAUGGUUCUCAGUAUCUAAGGUUACAUUUUACAGAAAAAGCUUGAAGAGGGAACUCUUUUUUUCUGUCUUCCUCCCACAACACUCCUUGAAAUGUCUGCAGUUCCAGAACUGCCUGGUUAAAGCCCAGGGCCAGCUUUGUCAGUAGGGAAACUGAAAUUGUCACCCCAGGCAGCAGAUUUUGUGUGUCAGCACAUUGCCAACAUAUAACUAUGUAGCUUUACUACAUGACUAUAGUAAAACUACAGCUAUUGUAGUUUUAGUGCAAGGAAUGGGGAGAAAUGAUUAUGGGACUUUCUAAUUUUCUUGUCAAAAUAUUGUACUCGAUUUGGAAUGCCAUGUGUCUUGAGUACAAGACUCAAGAGUUAUUAUUUGUGGCUCGGUCAUAGGUUACAAAAUGCCCUUGGAUGACCCUGUUGGAACAAGGCCAUUCUGGCUCGAAGUACCUCCAAAUACCUGUCUUCUCACGCCCCGUGCCAUGACUUCCUCUAGGAUAACAGCAGAUAAAGAGUGUUUGGGGAGGGGCUCAGCACAGCUGCAUCUUAAGUUGUGCUGCCUCAGCUAUUCUUGCUGAAGAAUCAUCCUGCUUAAAGAAGACAGUGCAAACACUGGCCACCUGCCGAAAGCAAACUCUAUCCUGCACUAAGGGGAAAAGACACCCGAGCCAAGCUAGAGACUGCCAUGCUGACUGCACCCUUGAGACUGGAUACUAACUAUUCUUUUGUGCACCCCUCUACCUCUCUUAGUUUUCCCAGCUAAUCAUUGAUCUCUCAGCUUUUUGGACUGCUUACUACCAUGUGGUUUCUCUCCUCACUCAGUGAAUUAUGACACACUGCUAGUGAAGACACACUGUAAUUAAUGACUUUAUACAAUACCUUCCUUCCAAUAAACUUAAGCAAGCAUGCAUUGCUCUCCCACUUUUUGCAUGUUAUCCUCCAAACCAGUCAUCCUCAAACUGCGGCCCUCCAGCUACUUGGACAUCCAACUCCCAGAAUACCUGACCAAUGAACAAGCUGGGUAGGGCUUUUUGGGAGCUGGAGGUCAAAAUAGCUGGAGGACCACAGUUUGAGGAUGCCUGCUCCAAACCCUGUGAGGUAGGUCAGGUUGAGUGGUCCAAGGUCACCAUUGAGUUUCAUGACUUGGUGGAUAAUAGGUCUGGACCUUCUAAGGCUUUGUUCAACAGACUAACCAACUAGGAUUGGAUGCUCAUUUCUGAGGACAUUUUAUUCCUUUUUUUAGGUGCAGCCUAUGCACUGAAAGGAUCGGGCUAGUUAGAACACUAACACUAUGUAACACAAUUUUAGAUCCUGGAUUACAAAUGUCAUUUCCUAAUAGGUUCUAUCAUAAAAACAUGGAAAAAGAUUAUUAAACUACAAAAACCUUGCGUUUGCGGGACAUUCCGCAGCACAUUUUGAUAUAGUUUUUCAUUUAAUAGAGUAUCAACCCAUUCAACAUAGUUUGUGACUGCCACAAAAAGCAAAGUUUCUGGAGUAUAGGGUUAUUGUAUGUUUUCCGGGCUAUAUGGCCAUGUUCCAGAAGUAUUCUCUCCUGACGUUUCUCCCACAUCUAUGGCAGGCAUCCUCAGAGGCUGUGAAGACACAAUACCUCAUAACCUCUGAGGAUACCUGCCAUAGAUGUGGGCGAAAUGUCAGGAGAGAAUACUUCUGGAACAUGGCUAUAGAGCCCAGAAAACAUACAACAACCCUGUGAUACCAGCCAUGAAAGCCUUCGACAACACAUUUCUGGAGUAUAACCACUACUUUCAAACUAAGUACCAUGAAAUUAAACAGGAAAUCACACUUUCAAACCAUGAACAGAAAUUUUUCAAAUUUUGUUACAUAGUGUAAUUAGCCAAGUUUUUCCAUCCCACUUGUCCUAGGCUUCACAUCAUUGUGUACUUUAAGAUCUGUUGACACCUCCAUCUCAAUCUACUUCCAUUUGCCCAAUUUUAAGUAAACCAUGCUAGGAAAUUUUCCAAAAAUUGAUAUGCUCCUGAGAGAGUACCUUCAAGAAUCUUUUUUCUAAAUAUUUUUCUCUGCCACCAGGAUGUGGACUUUCUUAUGUUUCAUACCCAAUGUCAGUGAAUAAAACCUUAUACAUAUGGUGAUCUUACUUUGGAAGAGUACUUAAUGGGCACAGAGCGUGUGUUUUGCACAACUACCCUGUUUCCGCUCUCUCUCACACAUGCAAACACUUUUACAUAAACCACAUUACCAGUUAAUUACAAUGAGUCAAAAAACCAAGGCUAUUUCUAAACAUGUGCAAAGUAACCAGUAAGGCUUCGCUGGUCACAGAGUGAUCUGCAUGUGUGUGUAUUUGAAAAAAAUAGGUAGGUGAGUGAGUGCAUGAAUUUUGAAGCACACAUGGUGUGGGUGGCUUUUUUAUUUUUUUUAUUUUUUUUACCCCACUUUUCUUCCAAUAUAGAGACUCAAGGUGUAUAACAAUAAAUUUUUUUAUUGUGUCAGAAGUGACUUGAGAACAUACUGCCAGUCGCUUCUGGUGUGAGAGAAUUGGCCAUCUACAGAAAAGUUGCCCAAGGGACAUUCGGAUGUGUUACCAUCCUGCUGGGAGGCUUCUCUCAUGUCCCUGCAAGCUAGAGCUGACAGGCAGGAGCUCACCCCAUCCAUGGAUUCAAACUGACAACCUUCAGGUCAGCAACCCAACCAUCAGGUCAGCAGUUCAGCCAACACAAGGGUUUAACCCAUUGCACCAUCGCAGCUCCCACAAUAAAUAUGAUACAAUGCUAAUUAAAAGAAUGUAAAAGCAUAUGCAUGCAUACACACACACACACCUUAAAAUCCCUUGUUUCAUUAUGAAGCUACUACUAUUUCAUGUGCCUUUGAAAUCUUCUCUCUGCAUCUGAUGAUCCUGGUCUGGUGCCUCUCCUCCAGAUGUCUUGGACCACAAUGGCAAAGCUGGCUGGCAAUGGUGGGAGUUGUAGUACAAUACACAUGGAUGUUACUAUGCUGGGACAGAGUUUUAAAAGAUUUAAACUUGAGCUACUAGAAUUCUCCAGCUAGUAUACAAAACAGUCAAGCUGAGUACCAAAUGCAAAAGUGAAUCUAUUAAUUCAGCAGGGGAGAAAGAGGAGAAGAUGGAAUCUUGCCCUUCUCAUAGAUUCAAACAAAAGCAAACUACCGUCACUACUUCUAACUUGUGUGUUCUUCUUUAUUAAUAGCUUUUGCUAUCCCAACAAUAUUCUGUUUUCUUUGGUCCACAUGUGGCCCAGUUUUCAUCUGUGGAAAUAUUGGAAGCUAUGCAUCAACAGAGCUGAGAAAUAUACAUUCAGGUAUGAAUCUCAUGAUGAACAAUAAUUUCUUGGCUUAGAUAGCUGGAGAAUCAGAAAUCCCACAGAAGGUUAACACACCUUUGGCCAAGUCUAGCCCAGAUCGUCUCAAUAGUCCACUUCUGUAUCAAGUGUGUUUUCCCAUAGCCCUGAAGUAUUUUACCAAGAAUCAAAAGAAGUUGGAAACUUGACAAAGUGCCCUGGCUAAGCCUCCUAUGCUUUAGUGGUACGGGCUGGCCUUUGUCCUUCCUGAAAGAGAUCCUGUGGCUCCUAAGAUGCUUCCUGCUGCAGCUGCUGGAUCCCCAGACACAGAGAUGCUAAUCAGCUCUCUUGAAGGAGAUACAUUCUAUCUUCUAAACAAGAGCUAAAAGACUGCAGGGCUUUGCUUGCCCUUUCGCAAAGUUUACUGUUCAAUCACACACACAGAUCCCCCUGUAUCUCCGCAUCUCACUUUGUCCCUCUACACAGCUGAAUAAAACCCCACAUUUUCUGUUUUGAACUGGAAUAUAUGGCAGUGUGGACUCAGAUAAGCCAGUUCAAAGCAGAUAUUGUGGGAUUUUCUGCCUUGAUUUUCUGGGUUAUAGGGCUGUGUUGAAAGGCCUUUGACUUCUUUUCUUCCUUUCUUUCUGUGAAAUAAUAAAAAAGAAUCCUGUUUUUGAAAGAAAGAAAACCCUCAGUUUGAAUGGCUUGACUUUCUGCAACAAGAGCCUGAAGCCAAGUUUCAGGCCAGCUCAGACAAAUCACUGAGGCAAAGGGAAGCUGCACAGCAGACCUUUCGUGGCACUCUUGCAUUCCACAGUAGCAGAGAUUUCUGCUUCUUCCUCUUCCAACCUUUUAUUUUUAACUUUGUCCUGACCAGGUUUUCCUGAGUCUUUUAUAGGGUUCCUUCAAAAUAAAAAUAUUUGCAUACCUGCUGGCAUGUUUAUAGGUGUCCACAUCAAUUAAGGCUAUUCAUAAGAUACUUUCUUACUCAUUUUAGUUUCUAUAUUAGGAGAGUCCAGCACAAGAAUCUUGCCCAACCUGGGCUGGCAAGGCUACUGCAGAUACACACUGUGAUGGCCAGAAGACAGUGUCUGCAUGUGUUUGCCCCAAAAAGUUUGAAAAUACAGUUAAAUUAGGAGAGUGGUCAGGCCACAAGGGAAAGGGGCACAAGGCAUAAGAUUGUUAAAGAGUUUGUUUACCUGGUGAGAAAAAUAUAUAUAUUCUAUACAUACACACACACUAGCCAUGGUAAACCAAAUCACAUCAACUAGUCAUCGUAAAUACUAAAGUUUUAUAUACCUUAAUUGGCCUUCCUCCUUUUUUCCUUUAAAAUAUUUUUGUAGCAGCCUUCCUCUGAAGUUGCUCAUAGCCCUUGAGAUAUAUCAAAGCAGGGAAGGACAAGGUGAAGCAUGCUGGUCCCGAACCUUUUCUCCCCAACCUAAAGCCUUCAAGAUGCCCCAAAGUCCCAUAACUUUCCAACCCCUAAAAGCUUCCCUUUGCCACCACUCAGUUGCCCUUGAGUCAAUCUGAAUACAAAGGUCUCAGUGGACAGUCAAUAGAGAGAAAGGUAGCCUAAAAUCUUUUUGAAAGCCAUAAACUGGAAGCAGCCAUCAAGGAGGCCCCCAUUGGGUCAUAUUGAAUGUUUACCAUGUGUAAACCGCUCUGAGUCCCCAUGGGAGAUAGAGCGGCAUAUAAAUAAAGUUUGUUGUUGUUGUUGUCAUCAAAAUGCUUGUGCUGGGAGCAGAAGUGAGAGAAGGUUGGCCUUUCAAUUGUCUCAAAGCCCAGACAGGCUCAUAUUAACUGGAGCGAAUUACAGGGCGCGUUCAACACCUCUGUUUAAGGAGCUCCACUGGUUGCCAUUUAUUUUCCGGGCCCAAUUCAAGGUGCAGGUUAUCACCUACAAAGCCCUAAACGGUUUGGGACCCACCUACCUUAGAGACCGCAUCUCCCUCUAUGAACCCACACGUUUUCUUUGCUCAUUGGGGGAGGCCCUUCCCUCGCUCCCACCACCCUCACAGUCACGGUUGGUGGGGACGAGAGAGAGGGCCUUCUCCGUCGUGGCCCCCCGGCUUUGGAACUCUCUACCUAGAGAGAUCAGGCAGGCCCCUACCCUCCUCUCCUUCCGGAAGAGCUUAAAAACCUGGUUCUUCCAAAAGGCCUUCAAUGUUUAAUUGUUGCUGGAUUGAUCUAUCUGUCCAUUCCAUAAUAGUCCCAUUGUUGUUGUCUUGUCAUUUUAUACCGCACUUUAUUGUCCAUUCAACUAUGAAAUUUCCUUUCCCCAUUUCGUAAUACUCUGCAUUUUGCCUGGGAUCUACGACUUAGUCUCCUGUUUUUAAUACUGUAUCCUGCUUGUUGAUUUUAAUGAUUGUUUUUAUUGAUGUUGAUGUUUUUUACUGGAAUAAUUGUUUUAUUGCUUUGUUACUGUUAUUUGUUUGUUUUAUCAGGCCAGGCCCCAUGUAAGCCGCCCCGAGUCUCUUCGGGGAGAUGGGGCGGGGUAUAAAAAUAAAGUUAUUAUUAUUAUUAUUAUUAUUAUUAUUAUUAUUAUUAUUAUUAUUAUUAUAUUAUCCAAUACUAAUCAAUAAUGCCCUUCCAAUAGCUAUUCUUCAGACCAGUUGGUUCUAUGUUGAUUCUUGAUUACUGUAAUCUUAUUCGCCACUACUAUUCAUAGCAUAGCAAGAAGCAUCUAAAUGCAAUAAAGGGGUUAAUUCAGAGUGCGGUAAUUACUCAACAUCCCAUCCAGCAUGAAGGCCCUUGAAACCAUAAAUAUCUAAAGUGAUUUAACAACUUUCCUCAAGUGUUUUUCCAUUUCUCUUAAAGUGGUUUCUGUUACAAGUCUAUUAUCUAGUUGUACUAUUCAUAUCUCUCUCAAAAGUUUUAGGAUAGCAAUUAGAGACAUUAACAUCGAUCCACUUCAAAUUAUCUGUGUUGCACAGGAACGUCUAUAGGAUGAUACAGGCGGCAGAAUGCUUUACAGAUGUUCUUCUCUUCUUCCUCUCUCUCCUCCUCCUCCUCUUUCUCCUCCUUCCCAUCAUCAUCUAGCAUAACUAUUGUUAAAAAAAGUACAAAAAAGGGGGACUUUACCUAGCAACAAAAUUAUUGUUAAUUUCCUAUGAAUAGGAAAUCACUCAGUCACUUUUUAAUCAGCAGCUCUACUCGGAUCUUGCAAAUACUGGGCUUUUUAAAAUUGAGUCUAACCACCUAUAACACACUUUUCCUUUUCAAGUGUUCCAGAAGCCAUGAAAGACUGGAAAUAAUGUUAAAUGCAAGAGAUCCAUCCUAUGUUGAAACAUUGAUUUCUUUCCAAAGAAAUUUGACCUGAAGGCAUUAAUGAGAUGUAUAGGAUUCACGAGGCUUUUCGGAUGUUGCUGGAUUACAAGUCCCAGUGACCUUAGUAGCCAGCAUUGCCAGUGGUGAGAAAUGCUGGCUGGCAGAUGUAAUCCAACAUCUGAAGGGCCAAAGGAAUCAACAACAUAAGAAUUAUAGAAAAACAAUUAAAAUUUAAUCAUAAUCCUUUACCUAGGAUAUUUGUAACAAAAUAUAGAAAUAGAGAUGUAAAUGAAAAGCAGCUUAUGGUUUUUGAUGCCAGAGGUAAAUGCUAUUGUUGAACACUACUUCCCUGAGAACUUCUGUCCCCUGCACUGGCUUCCUUGUAGUUAUCAUAGCAUUUUUAUUUCUUUUUUGUUUUUAGUAUUUUUAUUUUAUUUAUAUUUAUGUUGGUAGUCAAUUUGUAGAGUGUUGUUGUGUACCUUCAAAACAUUUCUGUCAUUCUUGAGUCUUUUUUUAGAGUUCCUUCAAAAUAAAAAGAUUUGCAGACCUGCUGGCAUGUUAUGGAGUUUUCUUUGCAAGCUUUAUGGGGGGGAGGGGGGGGCAAGAGGCGUUGCCACUGUCUUUGCCUGAGGCUGAGAGAGUGUGACUUUCCCAGGAUCACCCAAUCUCUGAGUAGAGAUUUGAACUCUGGUAUCCCAGAGUCCUAGUCUGACACUCAAAUGACUCCUAACACUGUCACUUUUGUAACUGCUGAUUAUAUAUGGGGAGGAAACCUCAAAGGAAGCCACCUUGUCCUAAAUCAGAUUGACCAGUAUUGUCAACUCUGACAGGCAGCCAUGGUUCUCCAGGGUUUCAGAAAAGACUAUGGCCUAGUUUAACCUGAGAUCUUUGGUAUUUCUAGUCUCAAGUAAUUUCUCACUUAAACACUCACAAUGUCCAGCCCUACUUAACUUCCAAAAUCAGACAAGAUGAGUUAUGUUGAGAAUGGCUAAUAAACUCCUCAGGGAGAUAGGAUGGGAUAUAAAUAAAGUUUAUAUUAUUAUUUAUGCAGCAGGAUAAUAAAGCUGGUUAAUAUCCAGGAUAAUAAACCCAGAAACUUAGUAUUGUGUUUAGAAUUCUGAGUUCCAAAAUUAAGAAUAUAGAUCGUGAGAUGCAAGCUUUAGGAAGAAAUCAAUUCAUUUGAAAUGCGGUGCUGGAGGAGAGUUCUCUAGACACUCUGAAUGGCUAGAAACAUAAAUGAAUGUGUCUUAGGGUAAAUCAGGCCUGAACCUUGCCUAGAAGCCAAGAUGACUAUAAUUAAGCUAUCGUAUUGUAAAGAUAAAAAGAUAGGACUCAUUAGAAAAGAAAUUGGGUUUUGGGAGGAUUGAAGGCAGCAGGAAAAGAGGAAGACCAUAUUGCAGGUAGAUAGACCCAGUCAAGAAAGCAAUGACCCAGAGUUUGGAGGACCCCAGUAGACUGUUGAUGACAGAUGACUUGGAAGGUUAUAAUUCACAGGACUGCCAUAGAUUGAUGUUAACCAAACAGCAAUUAACAACAGUCUUUUUCUUGCUUAAGGCUAUAGCCAACUCUUCUAGCUUUCCUAGAUAUACAAUAGACAUCUUGGAGGGGAUCAUCUGUUCCUAGUCUAGGACAUUACAAUACAUAAAGGUAUGAAUCAAGCAAUUGAGCUGGCACAAACAUUACAUCAUGAAAUCGGUGUCAGUUCAGUUUUCAUGUACUCUUCCUUACCCUGUUCCAGCACCAUCCCCUUUCCACAAUUUCUCAUCCUACCUUAACUUUUCUCCUUAAAUGUGUUAGUGUCAUUGGCAAUGCACAUUUUUAAAGUGCAGACAGAUGUCCAAUUACAAAAGCAGCAAAAGUAGAGUUUUGUUGGGGGUUUUUUUUAACUUUUCUUUUAAAUGCAGUGAAAUCAAAUAAGCUGUCUGGUUGGCUUCUGGGGCUGAAGCUAUUCUCGAAUGCUUGGUGCCACUGUUAUUAUUUCAUGGUUUCCUCUUGCUUUCCUUUAUUUAAUUCAGCAGCUCUUUGUGGCCCAAGAAGCCAAUAAAAACAGCCACGUGGCACACUCAGAAUUCCAUGCCUGGGCCUUUAGUUGUUGGCACUUUAAUGAGAAAAGAACUAUUAUGGUUUACAACUCUAAGGGUAUUUUGAGUUAUUCUGCUCCAAAGUAACUCUUCCCCCAAACUUUGCUUGCAGUGGUGCUGAGCCUGACAUAUUAUGAGGAAAUGGGUGUAGAAUGUGUAUAUUUUAAAAAGGAGUAUGUGAUUAAUAAUAUGUCCCCUUCCAACUCUCCAGAAUUGACAAGGAAGGUCCCAAUUCAUACUCUGCCAUGUCGCAUUUUCAGCUGCUUUUAAAAUAUUGGAGCUUUUCGUCUUCUCCUCUUACUUUCCUACUUUCUCUUCAAUUUACUUUAACUGUUAUAAGCUGAGCUGAAAGUGCAAAAGUCUACAUUCAACUCAGUAGGGUGGAGGGAAGAGGAGGCAGCAAAAUCCUGACAUUUUCAGAUUCAGGCAAAAGCAAACUGCUGCAGUCUCUUCUAGCUUGGCUGUUCUUCCUCAAAAACCUCACCAUCUUGGCCAUAUUCUGAUAUUGUUUGGCCAAACAUUUUCCAGUUUUCAUCUGUAAAAUGUUGAAGGUUACUCAAGGCAGGCAGAAAUCAGCCAGUAAUGCUGCCAUUUCAUCACAGUUUUCCCUCCUCGACAGUCUAAGGUUGCAUUCACCUAUGAUACCACAAAGUUACAUUGGUCCUAUCCACAUGACACUUUAUACAAUAGUGUUAUUAAUACACCUGAACUGCCAUGGUUACAUCUUAGAGAAUCUUAGGUUUUAUAUUUUGGUACCUCACUGGAGUUCUCUGAGAAUUCUGAAAAAUAUUUAUUUCAUUCUUUCUGUAACAAACAACAAAACUCAGGAUUCACAGGAUGGGGCCAUAAAGGUAAAUGUGAAAUCAUAGUGCUAUAAUUACUAUCCUAUCUGAUUUGUCAUCAUAGAAUCAUAGAGUUGGAAGAGACCUCAUGGGCUAUCCAGUCCAAUCCCCUGUCAAGAAGCAGGAAAGUCACAUUUAAAUCACCCCCGACAGAUGGCCAUUCAGCCUCUGCUUAAAGUCUCCAAAGAAGUCUCCACCACACUCCGAGGCAUAGAGUUCCACUGCCAAACUGCUCUCACAGUGAGGAAGCUCUUCCUAAUAUUCAGGUGGAGUCUUCUUUCCUGUAGUUUGAAGCCAUUGUUCCGUGUCCUAGUCUGCAGGGCAGAAGAAAACAAGCUUGCUCCCUCCUCCCUAUGACUUCCCCUCGCAUAUUCAUACAUGGCUAUCAUGUCUCCUCUCAGCCUUCUCUUCAGCAGGCUAAACAUGCCCAGCUCUUUAACCCGCUCUUCAUAGGGCUUGUUCUCCAGACCCCCUCUAGUCUCCCUCCUUUGGAAACUUUCCAGCUUGUCAAUAUCUCCCUCCAAUUACGGUGCCCAGAAUUGGACACGGUAUUCCAGGUGUGAUCUGACCAAGGCAGAAUAGAGGGGUAGUGUGACUUCCCUGGAUCUGGACGCUAUACUCCUAUUUGUGCUGGCCAAAAUCCCAUUGUUUUGUUUUGUUUUUUGCUGUCACAUCACAUUGUUGGCUCAAGUGAGGCUGGGGGGGACGAGAGACAGGUCCUUCUCGGUUGUGGCUCCUCGGCUGUGGAACUCCCUCCCCAGUGACAUCCGGCAGGCUCCAUCCCUUUUGGGGUUCAGGAAGAAGCUGAAGACCUGACUAUGCACGCAAGCGUUUAAUGAAUGAACUCAGUUAGCGUAGACAUGGAUUGGAUUAAGGCUCUUGCACAAGGUCUGAUGGAUAUUGGCACAAAUAUUCUUUUAUAUAUUGUAUAUUGCUAUGUUUUUUUAACUAUUUUUAACUGUUUUAAUUCUUAUUUUAUUGUAUUAUGAUGUACUGGUAGUGAUCCUGCCAGUUGUGUAAGCCGCCCUGAGUCCCCUUGAGGAGAAGGGCAGGGUAGAAAUAUCGGAAAUAAAUAAAUAAAAUGUUUAACUUGUUGUCUGUGAGGACUCCAAGAUCUUUUUCACAUGUAUUGUUGUCGAGCCAGGCGUCCCCCAUUCUGUACCUUUGCAUUUCAUUUUUCCUGCCUAAGUGGAGUAUCUUGUAUUUGUCCCUGCUGAAGUUCAUUUUGUUAGUUUUAACCCAUCUCUCUAAUUUAUUAAGAUCGUUUUGAAUUCUGAUCCUGUCUUCUGGAGUAUUAGCUAUCCCUCCCAAUUUGGUGCAAACUUGAUGAUCAUGCCAUCUAACCCCUCAUCUAAGUAAUUAAUAAAGAUGUUGAACACAACCAGGCCCAGGACAGACCCCUACUUAUGGCACUCAACUCGUCACUUCUUUCCAGGAUGAAGAUGCAUUGGUGAGCAUCCUUUGGGUUUGUUCACUUAGCCAAUUACAGAUCCACCUAACCAUAGUUUUGCCUAGCCCACAUUAAAUAGUUUGUUUGCCAGAAGGUCAUGGGGGGCCUUGUCGAAGCCCUUACUGAAAUCCACGUACGCUACAUCCAUGGAAUUCCCUGCAUCAACCCAGCAUGUAACUCUAUCAAUCCACUCCUUUAGGCUUCACACAAAUCUACCAUUUGCCAAAAUAUACUAUCCUAUGCUUUUCUUUUCCAUUUCUGACCAGAUAGCUUAACCGUUGGUUCGUCCCAUUGAAUACCAAGGGACAAUUGUGAUCUCUUGGUAUCCAAUUUCUUAGUCAAUAUGUUCAUCAAUUAUCUUUUGUUGUGCAAUAUGCCCUGCCUAUCUUCUUUUUGCCUCCUAGAUUUCGUUGACCACGUCACGGACCCAAGUUCUUUGACACAGCUCUUUAUUGCUGAUUUUGUCUCUUAUUGUCAUGCCACAAAUCCUUCUUUCCCUUGCUCUCUGAGUCACCAACAGUUUUUCCUUCUCUAACUAUGUUGUUGCCCAUGUUUCAGAUGCAUAUAACAUUGCCGGUAAAACUAUAGUGUUGAAAAUAUCUGCUCUGACCUUCAUUGGCAACUUAUCAACUUUUAAGUUGUCCAGAAGAUGAAAAGCAAACACAGAUGUGCUUCAGAGAUCCCGAGAGAACCAUAUGUUUUGUAAGAUUUGCUUGGAAAACUACAAACUGAAGAACCCCAUUUGUGCUGUGCAGAAAAACAGGUCUCCAACCUUUAAAUUUGUUUGGAAUGGAAAAAACACUGAGACAUAACUGCAGGAGAGGCUUAUGGGCGCUUCUCACAAGAAAAUGACUUUCAAAAACAGGUUCUGUAAAUGUAGAAAAAAUGUGCUUAAAUUCAGAGCAGGAAAGGAGGCAAGUAGCUUUGGAAGUGACCUUGAGAUAUUCUGCUUGUAAGUCCUCCUCCAAAAGGGAUGAACAUAUGUAUCAGCAUAUGCAGAACCAGAGACAAUAGCUGGUGAUGCGCCAUCACUUUAGUAUUGUAAUGUAGUAGUUGUUGUAUGUCUUCUAGUUGUUUUCUAUGAACAGCUACCCCCCAUGAGCUUUCAUGGCUAAGUGAACCCUGGUCUCCAGAGUUGUAGUCCAACACUCAAACCAUUAUACCAUGUUGAAAUGAGGGACAAGCCCCUGGAGUAGAUGCCUAAGGUCACAAUAUGUAUUACAAUGUAUAUUUAUUGUGUAUACAUUUGAACAAAAAAUAAUUAUUUCCUCAAGGGAGGGAGCUAGUGUGGUGUAGUGGUUUGAGCAUGACUCUGGAGAUCAGGGUUUGAAUCCCUUCUCAGCCUUGGAAACUCAGUGUGUGACCUUGGGCAAAGCUUAGUUUUUCAAUCUCCAAGGAAAGCAAUGGCCAUUUCCUCAGAACGAAUCUUGUCAUGAAAACUCCAUUAGGACCACCAUAAAUUGGAAAUGAAUUGAAGGCAGGCAACAACAAAUUUCUUCAAAAAUGUCAGGGCCCUAAGCUUGCAAGACCUAAUAGUUGAUGGCAGAGCGACUUGGAGCUUUCAAUUCAUAGGGUUACUAUACGUUGAAUUCUACUGACAGUUAACAACAAUUUCCUCUUACUUGGAAGAAACAAAUAUGCAGCUUGAACUAUUGAAAAGCAAAUCAAGGUACACUUAAACUGAAGAAUUAAUUACCUUGGGAAGUUGUAAGGGGCAAAACUAUAAUUCUAUUCACAAAAAAUGCCAUCAGUUGCUACUAACUGCUAGCCAAGGAAUUGGCCUAUUGUGCUUGAGGAUAUCUAAGUGAGGUCAAAUUUAGAAUAAGGACCACGGUUAUGGAGGAUCCUGCCCAAUGAGCAUUAUGCUAUACCUGAUUUCCCCCAAUUGAAACACUCUCACCAAGGCUGAAAGCAACAGAGGUUUAUUCACAAUCUGGCCAGAAGGGAUACAUGCAAGCCUAGCGCCAAAAAUAUAUGCAUACAAAGUAUGCAAAUAUAUGAAUACAAAGACAUGAGACUUUAUACACUUGACAGCUAUUCAAACCUUUCUGCUCUGUCUGCUCCCCUUCCUGAUUGGCCAAAGGAGGGGCUGGCUUGGAUCCUCACCCUGAUUGGCUGGUGUUCUGGUGAUGUUGCUGGCUCCAGCUCUCCUGGAAAGAGGUAAGCCCCAAAAAGUCCAUGUCCAUAUUGGGAGAUUUAAGUGAGUCCUUGACUGGUUUAAUUGUUAUGAUAUUGGACGAUGAGGAAGUUUCCUGGGAAAGCUGAGGGCAAGGAAAGCAUUUCAUUUCUUUUGACUUUGGUGUCCUUGGCAAACUAUAAUUCUUGGGGUGGGUGUGCUAUGUUUGACAACAUAAGGAGGGUGAAGGCAAGCAGGAGUUCUUUAUUUGAGGCUUGAUACAGAUACAUAAUAAACAACCUAUCAAGGAAACAUCAGUACAAGCAUUAUGCUUAACACACAACCACUUAAAUUGAAAUUCAGGAGACAGCUAUGUCAGGUUCUCCUGCAUGCCAGGGGGUUGGACUGGGUGGCAGGCAUGUAGCCGGGGGGGGGGGGGGGGCGGCUUGAGGGGCUUCAGCCUGCCCCCCCCCCUAAAAUUCUCAAGGUGAUCCACGAGAAGGCCUUACAUUUAUUAUUUAAACUGUUAAUGUUUAUUCAUAUCAUGAUCUGAUCACCAUGCUCAAUAUAUCCCAUAUGCAUGAGGGUAUUGGGAUAACAAUACAAAAGGUUUGCUAGGGUAGACCCUCUCCCGCUCAGACUCAGCCACCCCCCCCCCCCCCCCGAAACAAAAUCCCAGCCCCUCCUGAAACAAAAUCCUGGCUACGGGCCUGCUGGGUGGCCUUGUGGUCUCUUCCAACUGUAUGAUUCUAUGACUCUAAACAUACCUAAAUCAGUAAUCAAUCCACUAAACUCACUGGGCAUGCACACACUUGGGCCAGGGUUCUUUUAAAACUUCUAAAUGCAUAUGUAAAAGACUAACUCUGUAAACACAGUAUAGUAGAGUCUUACUUAUCCAACAUUCGCUCAUCCAACGUUCUGGAUUAUCCAACGCAGUCUGUCUCCCACCCAGAUCCACAGCUGUUUCUCUUGCCAGCAAGGACUGAACUUUUUACAGAUUUAAUUUUCGACAGUGUUGUUACUGUAAGUUCAUUUUAUGCAAUUCUAUCUUCAUUUGUAGUCAAUUUGUUAGUAGCCAAUGUUUUUGUAGUCAAUGUUUUCAAUACAUUGUGAUGUUUUGGUGCUAAAUUUGUAAAUACAGUAAUUACUACAUAACUUUAUUGUGUAUUGAACUGCUUGUUCUGUCGAUUUGUUGUAAAACAUGCUGUUUUAGUACCUAAUUUGUAAAAUCAUAAUGUAAUUUGACGUUUAAUAGGUUUUUCCUUAAUCCCUCUUUAUUAUCCAACAUUUUCGCUUAUCCAACGUCCUGCCGAGUGAGACUCUACUGUAUUAACACAAUGGUUUGGAAAUCCUGGUUUUGACUGCAAUGUCCUGUUGGCCAUUGUGGCUAAGAUAUCUUUCAUACUACACAACCGUAGUACAUUGAUAAUCUUUUAACUGUUAUAUCUGCAUCCUGUAAAAUUCUGGGAUCUGUAAUUUGAGGAGCUACCUAAUUUCUAUGUGUCAGACUUGUAAAUGCUCCCCUAACUCUAAAAGGAGGAAUUAUUGGACAGUUUGGAAUGGCUCAGCGUGGUUCUGGGAGCUGUGGUCCACAGAGGUAAAAUCCAAUUUUUGACAAAGCUAAGCAUGCUACAGAGACUGAAGAAUGUUGGUGCUGACUGGAAAAGUUCCCCUGGGAGAUGUUCCAGCUGAACGUGGCCUUCCUUCCUUCCUGAGCUGAGCUUUGGACUUACACAACCCCUUUCUGCAGCAGCACCACACCCGUUCUAAGCCAGGCACGUGUCCCCGGGCUGCAGGAGGCUGCCAGAUGCACAGGAAGGAGGGAAGGGAGUUCACACACAGAGACACAUCAGCAAGCAGUCCGGCAUCAGUGUUGUCCUCACCAACUAAAAUCACAGUCAGAAGAGACCACAAGGACUGAUUGCAAAAUAAAAGAGAAUGGGGCCAUGCUUUCUUUAAAAAUAGGUUUUAAUAGCAAUGAACUUUAAUAAUGAGACAAAUAAAAGAGUUCAGUAUCUUGAAGGACAUUUCAAGCUUUUAAAAUUUCUUUAUCAGACCUUCCAUCUUUUUGAACUCUUAUCUACCAACACAAGUGACCCACCACACAGUUUUGUAUUGAACAGAUACAGCAACCAUUCACAGAAAUAAAAUAAAAUAAUAAAAAUUCCAGAUUUACUGAAAUGUAUCAGGUAAUUUUUGCUGCCACAAUAUUCAACAUAAAGGUGUUGAAUAAGAGAAAGGCCAGAAAAAUAGUUUUUGAGAUGGCACAGAAAUGCCAAGCAUCCAUGUCAAAAUAUUAUAUAGGAGUUGUGUUUUGUUGUAUUUUUGAUGCUUUGGUUUGUCUUCUCUGAAAAAUAAGACUCAUUAACAUUUCACUAUCCUACAGGAUAACUAAAAGUAUGCAAACUCAUUUGGCUUGAAAGUCAUUUUCUCUUUCCCUGGUGAUACAGCAGCUUUUCUUGUAAAGACUUCUCUCCCACAUAGGAUACCAGUUGGUUUAUUUAUAAGACUGGAGCCUCCCAUAAGGGCAUCUGAAAAACAUGAAAGCAAAAUCAAAACAUUUAGAUACCAGACAGAUUCAUCAUGAUCAAACAGUGAUUUGAUCUUGUACCUUGUUCAGUGUUUCUUUUAGACAUUAUUUCAAUCAUACCCUUCUUUUUCCUACUGAACCUCCAUGUCUCCCACAAGUCAGUACAGUAAUUUUAGAGUGCAGUAAUUCUAGGUUAGGUAAUUUUAGACCUUGAAUUAAUCAUUUUCAGGUGGCAUUGUAUAUUAUUUCAGCUGUCACUAACAUAUCUGUCUUCCUACUCCAGACACACAUAUAUUUCAGUUAAUGAAGUAGACAUGUUCCUGAAUGUGUUUCAGCUAAUCUUUGUGUCAGAAUGAAAGACAUGCAUGUGUGAAAUGAAAUAACUGUAUCAGAUACCCUUUGUGUGAAUAAAAAAAUUGAAAUCCUCUAAAGA